GGCUGUCGUGACUCGUGAAAGAGC
rnacentral:siRNA from 1 species